rnacentral:rRNA from 1 species
UGCAGUCGAGGGGUAUAGGUUUUCGGACCUAGAGACCGGCGCACGGGUGCGUAACGCGUAUGCAAUCUACCUUUUACAGAGGGAUAGCCCAGAGAAAUUUGGAUUAAUACCUCAUAGUAUUAUUGAAUGGCAUCAUUUAAUAAUUAAAGUCACAACGGUAAAAGAUGAGCAUGCGUCCCAUUAGCUUGUUGGUAAGGUAACGGCUUACCAAGGCAACGAUGGGUAGGGGUCCUGAGAGGGAGAUCCCCCACACUGGUACUGAGACACGGACCAGACUCCUACGGGAGGCAGCAGUGAGGAAUAUUGGUCAAUGGGCGCAAGCCUGAACCAGCCAUGCCGCGUGCAGGAUGACGGUCCUAUGGAUUGUAAACUGCUUUUGUACAGGAAGAAACACUCCUUCGUGAAGGAGCUUGACGGUACUGUAAGAAUAAGGAUCGGCUAACUCCGUGCCAGCAGCCGCGGUAAUACGGAGGAUCCAAGCGUUAUCCGGAAUCAUUGGGUUUAAAGGGUCCGUAGGCGGUUUUGUAAGUCAGUGGUGAAAGCCCAUCGCUCAACGGUGGAACGGCCAUUGAUACUGCAAGACUUGAAUUAUUAGGAAGUAACUAGAAUAUGUAGUGUAGCGGUGAAAUGCUUAGAGAUUACAUGGAAUACCAAUUGCGAAGGCAGGUUACUACUAAUUGAUUGACGCUGAUGGACGAAAGCGUAGGGAGCGAACAGGAUUAGAUACCCUGGUAGUCCACGCCGUANACGAUGGAUACUAGCUGUUCGGAGCAAUCUGAGUGGCUAAGCGAAAGUGAUAAGUAUCCCACCUGGGGAGUACGUUCGCAAGAAU